AGAAUCUACAGGUCGAGCAAGUCUCGUAAAUUUCACGAUUGCGAGCCACGCUUCACGCAACCGUGUUUGCGUACUUGUGUUUCGAGUUGCGUGGUCGUGCGGAGUUAUAUUUACCAAAUUUAAAUGUAAUCGUUUCUACUGAUGACUGAUAAUAAUAUACUAUUCUCAAUAUGGCUACUGGGUGUAAAAGAUAAAUCUUAUUCUAUCUGUUCUUCAUGAGUUUUAGAUAAUUUUAGUUGUAUUUCUUUGUAAUUUUGUGUUGUACAAAGAUUAAUUUAACAUUUUCUCUGGAAGUAUUAAUUUAGAAAGAUAAUAUGCUUCAUUGGUGUUGUGUUUUGAAGUGUGAAAUGCAAAGUAAUUGUGAUAAAGUCAAGAUAAAGUUCACUUUUAAACUGAACUAAAUAAGGUAUCUGAGAGACAACAAUGGUUAAAUGCAAUACAAUGUACAGGUUUUACUAGCGAAAUGAAAAUUUUCCUGUCCUGUCUGCUGUAAUCAUUUUAUAUCUGGUAAGUUACAAUUACAACAGUAACGAUUUUUGAAGAUGUUAACAUUUUAAUCUUAUAGGAAAAUAGGAAAACCAGCCGACUUAAUCGAUAAUAACAAUCUCCAGAUUGGGUUCCUUCAAUAAAUAUGGGCUAUAAACACAAUGAAAUAAGUUCCCCAAAAUCUAAAAUGGAGUGCUAUCAAAGGAGAAUUAAAGGAAAAAAUAUUCAUAUUGAAAUUAUUUAUAAGGCACUGGACUGUCUUAAAUUCUACAAUAAUACUAGAAUCAGCUGAGAGAAGUGGUCUACAAAAAACCAGGAAGGAAACGGAAUAUGUGGCUACGAAAGGCAAAAGAAAGGUUUACAAAGCAAAUGUGACACAUUUUUUUGAAAUAUUUAGGAAUAUCAGUAAAUUGCAUUAAAAAAUGUAUGAAAAGAUUUUGUUCAAUAAAAAUGUUUAUAUUUA